rnacentral:piRNA from 1 species
UGCUGGCCUGUGGGGAAUCAUUCUCUUUC